GGCCCCGCGCCCGUCCCGCCGCCCCUGCCCGCCUACGGGAGGCAGCAGUGGGGAAUAUUGGACAAUGGGCGAAAGCCUGAUCCAGCCAUGCCGCGUGUGUGAAGAAGGUCUUCGGAUUGUAAAGCACUUUAAGUGGGGAGGAAGGGCAUUAAGUUAAUACCUUGGUGUUUUGACGUUACCAACAGAAUAAGCACCGGCUAACUUCGUGCCAGCAGCCGCGGUAAUACGAAGGGUGCAAGCGUUAAUCGGAAUUACUGGGCGUAAAGCGCGCGCAGGUGGUUCAUCAAGUUGGAUGUGAAAUCCCCGGGCUCAACCUGGGAACUGCAUCCAAAACUGGCGAGCUAGAGUCUGGUAGAGGGGGGUGGAAUUUCAGGUGUAGCGGUGAAAUGCGUAGAUAUAGGAAGGAACACCGGUGGCGAAGGCGGCCCCCUGGACUGAGACUGACGCUCAGGUGCGAAAGCGUGGGGAGCAAACAGGAUUAGAUACCCUGGUAGUCCACGCCGUAAACGAUGUCGACUAUGGCGGUGUG
rnacentral:rRNA from 1 species